GACGAACGCUGGCGGCGUGCCUAAUACAUGCAAGUAGAACGCUGAAGAGAGGAGCUUGCUCUUCUUGGAUGAGUUGCGAACGGGUGAGUAACGCGUAGGUGACCUGCCUGGUAGCGGGGGAUAACUAUUGGAAACGAUAGCUAAUACCGCAUAAAAUUGAUUAUUGCAUGAUAAUUAAUUGAAAGAUGCAAUUGCAUCACUACCAGAUGGACCUGCGUUGUAUUAGCUAGUUGGUGAGGUAACGGCUCACCAAGGCGACGAUACAUAGCCGACCUGAGAGGGUGAUCGGCCACACUGGGACUGAGACACGGCCCAGACUCCUACGGGAGGCAGCAGUAGGGAAUCUUCGGCAAUGGGGGGAACCCUGACCGAGCAACGCCGCGUGAGUGAAGAAGGUUUUCGGAUCGUAAAGCUCUGUUGUAAGAGAAGAACGGGUGUGAGAGUGGAAAGUUCACACUGUGACGGUAUCUUACCAGAAAGGGACGGCUAACUACGUGCCAGCAGCCGCGGUAAUACGUAGGUCCCGAGCGUUGUCCGGAUUUAUUGGGCGUAAAGCGAGCGCAGGCGGUUAGAUAAGUCUGAAGUUAAAGGCUGUGGCUUAACCAUAGUAUGCUUUGGAAACUGUUUAACUUGAGUGCAGAAGGGGAGAGUGGAAUUCCAUGUGUAGCGGUGAAAUGCGUAGAUAUAUGGAGGAACACCGGUGGCGAAAGCGGCUCUCUGGUCUGUAACUGACGCUGAGGCUCGAAAGCGUGGGGAGCAAACAGGAUUAGAUACCCCGGUAGUCCACGCCGUAAACGAUGAGUGCUAGGUGUUAGGCCCUUUCCGGGGCUUAGUGCCGCAGCUAACGCAUUAAGCACUCCGCCUGGGGAGUACGACCGCAAGGUUGAAACUCAAAGGAAUUGACGGGGGCCCGCACAAGCGGUGGAGCAUGUGGUUUAAUUCGAAGCAACGCGAAGAACCUUACCAGGUCUUGACAUCCCUCUGACCGCUCUAGAGAUAGAGUUUUCCUUCGGGACAGAGGUGACAGGUGGUGCAUGGUUGUCGUCAGCUCGUGUCGUGAGAUGUUGGGUUAAGUCCCGCAACGAGCGCAACCCCUAUUGUUAGUUGCCAUCAUUGAGUUGGGCACUCUAGCGAGACUGCCGGUAAUAAACCGGAGGAAGGUGGGGAUGACGUCAAAUCAUCAUGCCCCUUAUGACCUGGGCUACACACGUGCUACAAUGGCUGGUACAACGAGUCGCAAGCCGGUGACGGCAAGCUAAUCUCUGAAAGCCAGUCUCAGUUCGGAUUGUAGGCUGCAACUCGCCUACAUGAAGUCGGAAUCGCUAGUAAUCGCGGAUCAGCACGCCGCGGUGAAUACGUUCCCGGGCCU
rnacentral:rRNA from 1 species